rnacentral:rRNA from 1 species
AUGUUUAGAUAUGUUGGAGUGCUCGCCUGGAUAAUGAUGAGAGGUGAAGAGACGCACAAAAGGAACCUGUGGUCUGAAAGAGCUAAUUUGCAGAAAUUUCAUCCACCCGUCAAACUGCAAAUCAGUGUUUGGUUGUACCAAUGCUUCCUGAAAUACAUGCAAGCAUAUCUACUCAGAAGGGGAAAAGCAGGAGUUGAAUCAUCAAUAGGAAUCUGCCAUGUAAUUGAUCUUAUUGGCUCAGAAAGAAAAUUGGCUGUUGGUCACAGUUGUUUACCAAGUAUACUAUUUUUUUGCCUACAAAAACUUCUAUGA